AUACCUUUCUCGGCCUUUUGGCUAAGAUCAAGUGUAGUAUCUGUUCUUAUCAGUUUAAUAUCUGAUAUGUGGGCCAUGUGCCCACUUUGAUAUUAAAUUUAUUUUUUGUGGGGGAGGGCCCACCACAGUGGCUUGCCACUGGGGCCCUCGCGCGUCGCCCAGGCGUUGCACUGCUGCCCGGGCCUGGCGCACCCCAA
rnacentral:snRNA from 1 species